rnacentral:rRNA from 1 species
UACGUAGGGGGCGAGCGUUGUCCGGAAUUACUGGGCGUAAAGGGUUCGCAGGCGGCAUGGCAAGUCCGAUGUAAAAGGCGAAAGCUCAACUUUCGUAAGCAUCGGAAACUGUCAAGCUUGAGUGAAGGAGAGGCAAGUGGAAUUCCUAGUGUAGCGGUGAAAUGCUUAGAUAUUAGGAGGAAUACCAGUGGCGAAGGCGACUUGCUGGAAUCUAACUGGCGCUGAGGUACGAAAGCGUGGGGAGCAAACAGG